CCUUUGAUGUUGGUUCUUCCUAUCACUGUGAAGCAGAAUUCACCAAGCAUUGGAUUGUUCACCCGCUAAUAGGGAACGUGCGCUGGAAUCAGACCGUCGUGAAACAGGUU
rnacentral:ncRNA from 1 species